CUGGAAUUCAAAUGUUCCUAUCAGCCUUUCACGCACCUUUUCUUGGUAUCCACUUGAAUACUGGAAUAGAUUCAAUGGAGGACGGCCUAGGUAGAAAGGGCUAUAGCAAUACAGCAUACCAUAUGAUGACCUCACACUGCCAUCUCGCAUAGAGAAAGAUGAAGAAACUAAGCCUUUAACACUUGAAGUGACAUGACCAUGUUCACACAGCUGGUGUCUGAGGCAAGAACUGAACACAGAUUGGCUAAUUCCAAGGUCUA